rnacentral:rRNA from 1 species
CAGCCGCCGCGGUAAUACGUAGGUGGCAAGCGUUGUCCGGAAUUAUUGGGCGUAAAGGGCUCGCAGGCGGUUUCUUAAGUCUGAUGUGAAAGCCCCCGGCUCAACCGGGGAGGGUCAUUGGAAACUGGGAAACUUGAGUGCAGAAGAGGAGAGUGGAAUUCCACGUGUAGCGGUGAAAUGCGUAGAGAUGUGGAGGAACACCAAUGGCGAAGGCGACUCUCUGGUCUGUAACUGACGCUGAGGAGCGAAAGCGUGGGGAGCGAACAGGAUUAGAUACCCCUGUGUCCCUGUCUCUUAUACC